rnacentral:rRNA from 1 species
GAUGAACGCUGGCGGCGUGCCUAAUACAUGCAAGUCGAGCGAACAGACGAGGAGCUUGCUCCUCUGACGUUAGCGGCGGAAGGGACAGUAACACGAGGAUAACCUACCUAUAAGACUGGGAUAACUUCGGGAAACCGGAGCUAAAACCGGAUAAUAUAUUCAACCGCAUGGUUCAAUAGUGAAAGACGGUUUUGCUGUAACUUAUAGAUGGAUCCGCGCCGCAUUAGCUAGUUGGUAAGGUAACAGCUUACCAAGGCAACGAUGCGUAGCCGACCUGAGAGCGGGAACGGCCACACUGGAACCGACAGGCGGUCCUGAGUCCGACGGGAGGCAGAAGUAGCGAAGCUACCGAAAUGUGCGAAAUCCUGACGGAUCAGCGGCGCGUUAGUGAUGAAGGUCUUCGGACCGUAAAACUCUGUUAGGAGGGAAGAACAAAUUUGGAAGGAACUAUGCUCGUGUUGACGGUACCUGCUCAGAAAGCCACGGCUAACUACGUG